UUUCGUUUAAGAAGUGAGCAAAAAUGAACACAGGAAAUCCUGUGUAUGAAGCCACUUCAGUUUGAAAAAAUCAUUCAGCAAAAUCAUCCAUCAAAUACUCCACAAGAAGUCAAGGUGGCAAAUCAUAACCCUCUGUCAUUUCAACUAAUUUCACUGCAGUGUACUCUGAGGAGGAGCCUGAAUAAAGAAAAUUAUGAGAUACAAACAUUUGGCAGUUGACUUUCCUAAGAAAGAAAGAAAGGAAGGAAGAAAGGA